rnacentral:rRNA from 1 species
GAUGAACGCUGGCGGCGUGCCUAAUACAUGCAAGUCGAGCGAACGGACGAGAAGCUUGCUUCUCUGAUGUUAGCGGCGGACGGGUGAGUAACACGUGGAUAACCUACCUAUAAGACUGGGAUAACUUCGGGAAACCGUAGCUAAUACCGGAUAAUAUUUUGAACCGCAUGGUUCAAAAGUGAAAGACGGUCUUGCUGUCACUUAUAGAUGGAUCCGCGCUGCAUUAGCUAGUUGGUAAGGUAACGGCUUACCAAGGCAACGAUGCAUAGCCGACCUGAGAGGGGGAUCGGCCACACUGGAACUGAGACACGGUCCAGACUCCUACGGGAGGCAGCAGUAGGGAAUCUUCCGGAAUGGGCGAAAGCCUGACGGAGCAACGCCGCGUGAGUGAUGAAGGUCUUCGGAUCGUAAAACUCUGUUAUUAGGGAAGAACAUAUGUGUAAGUAACUGUGCACAUCUUGACGGUACCUAAUCAGAAAGCCACGGCUAACUACGUG